rnacentral:rRNA from 1 species
ACGGGAGGCAGCAGUGAGGACUAUUGGUCAAUGGACGAGAGUCUGAACUAGCCAAGUAGCGUGCAGGAUGACGGCCCUCCGGGUUGUAAACUGCUUUUAGUUGGGAAUAAAAGAAGUGACGUGUCGCUUAUUGUAUGUACCAUCAGAAAAAGGACCGGCUAAUUCCGUGCCAGCAGCCGCGGUAAUACGGAAGGUCCGGGCGUUAUCCGGAUUUAUUGGGUUUAAAGGGAGCGUAGGCGGGCUUUUAAGUCAGUGGUAAAAGCGUGUGGCACAACAAUACCACGCCAUUGAAACUGGAGGCCUUGAGUGCACACAGGGAUGCUGGAAUUCGUCGUGUAGCGGUGAAAUGCUUAGAUAUGACGAAGAACUCCGAUCGCGAAGGCAGGUGUCCGGGGUGUAACUGACGCUGAGGAUCGAAAGUGCGGGUAUCAAACAGGAUUGGAUACCCUGGUA